AAAAAAAAAAAGCACUCCCCGAGGCCACAAUUUUCCCGAAGCCAAACGAGCCCCUAGCUCGCUGGCCCAAGCUACCCAAAAAUCCCUCCAAAUGGUGCUCGGCCUCCUGAGGCCGAGAUUCGCGGAAAUCUCCCUCGGCCUGGAUCUCUACCUUCGGGAAUGGGGUUAUUGGCUGUAAAGAUGGCGGAGCUCUCCGUCAUGGCUUCCGCUGCCUUCUCUCCUACGAAUUUUUAUCAGGAGCAGGUCCUUUAUAGGGCUCCCAAGGAGUUUCAAGCUCUGUUGCCGCUACAAAGCAAAAGACCGGAUAUAUGGAGAGCUGUUUCUUUAGAGCUCAGUGCACAAAAUCUCGAUGAACUGGGGCAAUCCAUGCAUCUUUUUCCAGAGUGCAGUCGGUCUAUUAGGCCACCUUCAAUGGUUGAAAAUCCGUGCUAAUUGACGUGCAAGGAUAAUAUUGGACAGGCUCUUUCUUAAAUCAUCAAGCUUCAUCUGGAUUUGUCAUCGGAGAUGCUCACAGUAGCUUAUUACGGGCUGCCGGCAAAACUUUUAAGCUACAAGGAAAUCCUUUCUUAAAAGAUGUCCUACAGUGGAAAUGGCUACUGUUUGCUUUUGUAAAAUCAGACACAUUCUACGCCAAGGCAACAGGGCAACCGAUUAGGGUGGUGGCAAAGCAUGGGAUCAGAGCUUCUUCUUGGAAGGACGGUUCCUUUCGAACUUAGUUGUAUCUUACCUGCUAAUGCUCAUGGUGUAUGUUACUCUAGAACUUAAUUUACAUGCUAUGCGUCUUACCUAAAUCUUUUUUUUUUAAAAAAAUCUUAAAUCCUAAGUGGGUUCUCGUGAUCGAAAACCAUGUAUAAACUGAUUUAAUAUAAUCUUUGUUGGGCUUUCUUACCUCUUGAAA